rnacentral:rRNA from 1 species
AGUGAACGCUGGCGGUAGGCCUAACACAUGCAAGUCGAACGGCAGCACAGUAAGAGCUUGCUCUUACGGGUGGCGAGUGGCGGACGGGUGAGGAAUACAUCGGAAUCUACUUUUUCGUGGGGGUUAACGUAGGGAAACUUACGCUAAUACCGCAUCCGACAUACGGUUGAAGGAGGGGGAUCUUCGGACCUUGCGGGAUUGAAUGAGCGGAUGUCGGAUUAGCUAGUUGGCGGGGUAAAGGCCCACCAAGGCGACGAUCCGUAGCUGGUCUGAGAGGAUGAUCAGCCACACUGGAACUGAGACACGGUCCAGACUCCUACGGGAGGCAGCAGUGGGGAAUAUUGGACAAUGGGCGCAAGCCUGAUCCAGCCAUACCGCGUGGGUGAAGAAGGCCUUCGGGUUGUAAAGCCCUUUUGUUGGGAAAGAAAAGCAGCAGGUUAAUACCCCGCUGUUCUGACGGUACCCAAAGAAUAAGCACCGGCUAACUUCGUG